GGGGGUAUAGCUCAGCUGGGAGAGCGCCUGCUUUGCAAGCAGGAGGUCAACGGUUCGAUCCCGUUUAUCUCCACCA
rnacentral:tRNA from 15 species